AGCAAGCCUCCGCGCUCCACGUGGGGCCCCGGCCGGGGACCACGGCGUGCCCUCACAGCCGAGGCAGCUGCUGUGGGCGUGGGCGCCCCGACUCCACACGCUUGGCCACGAGAACAUAAAGGGCAGAAUCCGGCUCACGAUUUCACGUUCAGCACGCGCCGAAACGGGCACCGUUUCCCAUAAGUGAGAUAAAGUGUUAAGUUACUUCCACGGGUUGCUUUUCACCGUUUGUUUUUCGACGUGGCUACUGGAAAUCACACGUGCAGCUCACAGCCAUCUGCUCCGGGCCGGGCCAGAGCCCAGGCCGCCAGGGGCUCACGGCAUUCCGGAGGCUGCCACCUUCCCCAGCAUCACAACCGCUGCGAUCAGCAGCCCGGCCCCUGUCGGGGUACCACGGGCUGUCAUGACAGAGUGCUUCCCGAGAGGCCUGCUGAGCGGGCGAGUGACCAGCCGUGGCCCUGGGGAGCGUCUGCCAUGUUGCCAGUUGCGCCCUGGGCGACUGAAGGGCGGUGGGAGCCUCAGGGAGCACGGCACAACCCGGGGUGCAGGUCUGUCCCCCUCCCCGCCCCCUCCCACCGGGACGGCCCAGGCCAGCAGGGCAAAGGGCCCCCACGGCCCCCCCCUCCCAGAAAUGAGAGACAGCCCCACGACGACAACAACGUUGUUCAGAUUUUAACUUGU